rnacentral:rRNA from 1 species
UACAGAGGUCUCAAGCGUUGUUCGGAUUCAUUGGGCGUAAAGGGUGUGUAGGUGGCGCGCUAAGUCGGGUGUGAAAUUUCGGAGCUUAACUCCGAAACUGCAUUCGAUACUGGCGUGCUUGAGGACUGGAGAGGAGACUGGAAUACUUGGUGUAGCAGUGAAAUGCGUAGAUAUCAAGUGGAACACCAGUGGCGAAGGCGAGUCUCUGGACAUUUCCUGACGCUGAGGCACGAAAGCCAGGGGAGCAAACGGG